CCUAUUUAUACCCGUUUGAGCAUUCAAUGCUCACAGAGUCCCAAGUAACGCAUCGGUUAGCGGAAUUCGCCCGCUUUCCUGACACGUUGCGGGAAGGUUCCAGAAACGCAAUGAGUAAAAUAAAAUGAGAUCGGUUAGCUAAGACUGUCGGAUUAGGGCAAAUGUUCAGAGUCACUGAUCGGCUAAGGACGAUUUAAUUAGGGACCAGAUCGGAUAUGCACACCAGAGAUCGGAAAAUUAACCAAUGCGAUAAUUAAAUAAUGACCUUCAAACAAAAUUUCAUUUCAUUUCCAUAAGGUCAGAUUACAUCAUUUGAGCGAUCCCAAAAGAUCGGAUUACACCCUUGAGAGAAUCUUCAAAGAUCAAAUUUCAUUGUUUGGGCGAUCUCAAAUCAGGAAGCGAUGAGGGACCCGAUGUGAGAGAGAUUGGAAAAGAGUCAUAAUAGAGAAAUCGGAAGGAAUAGAGAUCAGAAAGCAACAAGAGGACAAAAGACUUCCAAUAACUUUCUUCAUAAUCAGGGCCGAGAUAGUUAAAGUGUUGCAGGCGUGAUCAAAUCUUCACCGCACGCCUCAUUUGCAGAAUCGCCCACAUUGCUGACAGACGCCAAGACAGUUAUGGCAGUUCUGUACAUCUCAAUCUCCACCGUUGAUCUUA
rnacentral:misc_RNA from 1 species